UGUUAAAGUAGGUAAAAAAUAAUAAACUGGUGUAAAUUCGUAAUUUUAAGCCGGGGGGAAAAACAAAAUUUUAUUUUGAACUGGGGCGAAACGUAAUUUUGGCUGAGGGUAAAAGCGUAAUUUUUUUACCGAGGGCGAAAUCGUAUUUUUUAGCUCGGGGCAAAAGGGUAAAUGCAUUUUGAAGUACUGCUCGUCGCCCAUUUGAACCAAUGGGAGAGAAACACUAUUGCAGGGCAAAAACGUUAUUUUAAAGUGUGUAUAAAAUAAUAAACUGGUUGGUCCAAUGAGAGAGAGGCGGCCGCCCAUUUAAACCAAUGGCAGGGUGAUACUAUUCCCUGCCACUAAAUUUAAUUUUGAACUGGGGGCAAUAUCGUAAUUUUAAAAAGGGAAUAAAAUCGUAAUUUGACAUGACUUAUAAAUAAAUAUUUUAUGCAAAGAAAAAAAUAAAUAAAUAAAGCUGGCCACCAUUUUAACCAACCAUUUGCUUUCUCUAUUCCCGCCGACAUAUACAAACACAAACAACUUUUGUGUUUGUAUAUGUUGGAAAUAUCACGUCACACCAAUAUAAAUGUUCAAAAACACGCAAUAUAAUCAUAUAUUAUGUAUAUAGUUACCUAC
rnacentral:lncRNA from 1 species